ACGUGGGGAACCUGCCCCAUAGUCUGGGAUACCACUUGGAAACAGGUGCUAAUACCGGAUAAGAAAGCGGAUCGCAUGAUCAGCUUUUAAAAGGCGGCGUAAGCUGUCGCUAUGGGAUGGCCCCGCGGUGCAUUAGCUAGUUGGUAAGGUAAAGGCUUACCAAGGCGAUGAUGCAUAGCCGAGUUGAGAGACUGAUCGGCCACAUUGGGACUGAGACACGGCCCAAACUCCUACGGGAGGCAGCAGUG
rnacentral:rRNA from 1 species